rnacentral:misc_RNA from 1 species
GAUUAGUCAUUUUGAUGUGUAAAGUAACUUAAACACUUAUAUAAACCAUAUUAAAAUGAAUUAAUUCGUAAUUUGCCUGGUACUCUCUCCAAAUUCAACAUUUUAAUAGAGCCUAGACUGGGUUGUGGGUUUUAGCUUUCCGUAAGAUUGUAUUAUUGAGCCCGUAUUGAGUUAAAAUUCUAACUAAUUGUCAAGUGAUAACUACGUAGUUUCACUUGAGGAGUGAAUAUUUGAAUCCCACAUUAAAAGAAUAUGAAGUAAAAGGACAAUAUAUAAGUGGUUGGGUUUCAACAUUAAAUUGGUUAGUCAUUUUGAUGCGUAAAGUAACCCAAUAACUUAUAUAAGCCCAUAUUAAAAUGAAUUAAUACAUAAUUUGUCCAGUACUCUCCCCAAAUUUAACAUGUUAGUAGAGUCUGAUUUAGGUUAUGGGUUUCCGUAGCCUAUAAGGCUGUAUAAUUGAGCUUAUAUUAGGUUAUUAUUAACUAAUUUGUCAAAUGACAAUCAUUUGAUUGCACUGGAAGGGGGAGUGUUGAGAAUACUUGUCACACAUUGAGAAAAUACAAAGAUGAAAAGGAUAAAUAUAAGUAGGUAAGUUACAAUAUUAACUUGAUUAGUCAUUUUGAUGUGU